rnacentral:rRNA from 1 species
GGCAGUCCGGGCGGUGCUAAUAAUGCAAGUCGAACGCUUCUUUUUCCACCGGAGCUUGCUCCACCGGAAAAAGAGGAGUGGCGAACGGGUGAGUAACACGUGGGUAACCUGCCCAUCAGAAGGGGAUAACACUUGGAAACAGGUGCUAAUACCGUAUAACAAUCGAAACCGCAUGGUUUUGAUUUGAAAGGCGCUUUCGGGUGUCGCUGAUGGAUGGACCCGCGGUGCAUUAGCUAGUUGGUGAGGUAACGGCUCACCAAGGCGACGAUGCAUAGCCGACCUGAGAGGGUGAUCGGCCACAUUGGGACUGAGACACGGCCCAAACUCCUACGGGAGGCAGCAGUAGGGAAUCUUCGGCAAUGGACGAAAGUCUGACCGAGCAACGCCGCGUGAGUGAAGAAGGUUUUCGGAUCGUAAAACUCUGUUGUUAGAGAAGAACAAGGAUGAGAGUAACUGUUCAUCCCUUGACGGUAUCUAACCAGAAAGCCACGGCUAACUACGUGCCAGCAGCCGCGGUAAUACGUAGGUGGCAAGCGUUGUCCGGAUUUAUUGGGCGUAAAGCGAGCGCAGGCGGUUUCUUAAGUCUGAUGUGAAAGCCCCCGGCUCAACCGGGGAGGGUCAUUGGAAACUGGGAGACUUGAGUGCAGAAGAGGAGAGUGGAAUUCCAUGUGUAGCGGUGAAAUGCGUAGAUAUAUGGAGGAACACCAGUGGCGAAGGCGGCUCUCUGGUCUGUAACUGACGCUGAGGCUCGAAAGCGUGGGGAGCAAACAGGAUUAGAUACCCUGGUAGUCCACGCCGUAAACGAUGAGUGCUAAGUGUUGGAGGGUUUCCGCCCUUCAGUGCUGCAGCUAACGCAUUAAGCACUCCGCCUGGGGAGUACGACCGCAAGGUUGAAACUCAAAGGAAUUGACGGGGGCCCGCACAAGCGGUGGAGCAUGUGGUUUAAUUCGAAGCAACGCGAAGAACCUUACCAGGUCUUGACAUCCUUUGACCACUCUAAAGAUAGAGCUUCCCCUUCGGGGGCAAAGUGACAGGGGGUGCAUGGUUGUCGUCAGCCCGGGUCCUGAAAUGUUGGGUUAAGUCCCCGCAACCAAGCGCCAACCCUUUAUUGGUAAGUUGGCAAUCAUUUAAUUUGGGGCACCCCAAACAAAGACCGGCGGGGGAACAAACCCGGAGAAGGUGGGGAUGACGUCAAAUCAUCAUGCCCCUUAUGACCUGGGCUACACACGUGCUACAAUGGGAAGUACAACGAGUCGCAAAGUCGCGAGGCUAAGCUAAUCUCUUAAAGCUUCUCUCAGUUCGGAUUGUAGGCUGCAACUCGCCUACAUGAAGCCGGAAUCGCUAGUAAUCGCGGAUCAGCACGCCGCGGUGAAUACGUUCCCGGGCCUUGUACACACCGCCCGUCACACCACGAGAGUUUGUAACACCCGAAGUCGGUGAGGUAACCUUUUGGAGCCAGCCGCCUAAGGUGGGAUAGAUGAUUGGGGGAAGUCGUAACAAAGAGCCGUAGGG